GUGAGGAAUUUUCCGCAAUGGGCGAAAGCCUGACGGAGCAAUGCCGCGUGAAGGAUGAAGGCCUAUGGGUUGUAAACUUCUUUUCUUAGAGAAGAAUAUUGACGGUAUCUGAGGAAUAAGCAUCGGCUAACUCUGUGCCAGCAGCCGCGGUAAGACAGAGGAUGCAAGCGUUAUCCGGAAUGAUUGGGCGUAAAGCGUCUGUAGGUGGCGUCAAAAGUCUCCUGUCAAAGAUCAGGGCUUAACCCUGGGCCGGCAGGAGAAACUCUGAGGCUAGAGUUUGGUAGGGGCAGAAGGAAUUCCCGGUGGAGCGGGAAAAUGCGUAGAGAUCGGGAGGAAGACCAAAGGCGAAAGCACUCUGCUGGGCCACAACUGACACUGAGGAACGAAAGCGAGGGGAGCAAAAGGGAUUAGAAACCCUUGUAGUCC
rnacentral:rRNA from 1 species